rnacentral:rRNA from 1 species
GACGAACGCUGGCGGCGUGCCUAAUACAUGCAAGUUGAGCGAUGAAGAUUGGUGCUUGCACCAAUUUGAAGAGCAGCGAACGGGUGAGUAACGCGUGGGGAAUCUGCCUUUGAGCGGGGGACAACAUUUGGAAACGAAUGCUAAUACCGCAUAACAACUUUAAACAUAAGUUUUAAGUUUGAAAGAUGCAAUUGCAUCACUCAAAGAUGAUCCCGCGUUGUAUUAGCUAGUUGGUGAGGUAAAGGCUCACCAAGGCGAUGAUACAUAGCCGACCUGAGAGGGGUGUCGGCCACAUUGGGACUGAGACACGGCCCAAACUCCUACGGGAGGCAGCAGUAGGGAAUCUUCGGCAAUGGACGAAAGUCUGACCGAGCAACGCCGCGUGAGUGAAGAAGGGUUUCGGAUCGUAAAACUCUGUUGGUAGAGAAGAACGUUGGUGAGAGUGGAAAGCUCAUCAAGUGACGGUAACUACCCAGAAAGGGACGGCUAACUACGUG